rnacentral:rRNA from 1 species
UAGGGAAUAUUGGUCAAUGGAGGCAACUCUGAACCAGCCAUGCCGCGUGUAGGAAGAAGGCGUUCUGCGUUGUAAACUACUUUUGAUUGGGAACAAAUGACUCUUGCGAGAGUAGCUGAGUGUACCAAUAGAAUAAGCCACGGCUAACUACGUGCCAGCAGCCGCGGUAAUACGUAGGUGGCAAGCGUUGUCCGGAUUUAUUGGGUUUAAAGGGUGCGUAGGCGGCUUGAUAAGUCAGUGGUGAAAGCCGAUCGCUUAACGAUCGAACUGCCAUUGAUACUGCCAGGCUUGAGUAUAGUUGAGGUAGGCGGAAUUGACAGUGUAGCGGUGAAAUGCAUAGAUAUUGUCAAGAACACCAAUUGCGAAGGCAGCUUACUAAAGUAUAACUGACGCUGAGGCA